UGGUGAGGUAAUCGCUGCCACAGCUGACUGGCUAUGGCUUCCUUGAUAAGAUGCCAGGAGCUACCUAUGUAGAUUCCCAGGGAGGAACUGUAGGAACAAACCAGUGUCAAUGGUUAACCCAGGUUCUUGGUGUCUGGAGCUUUUAUUUCCUUUAUUAUUAACUAAAGAUCAUUCUUGCCAUUCCCAGCUGAGAGCACCCAGCUCAUAGAUUCUCUGUGGGGAGAGCGAAUAAAGUUACCUGGGACUAAUUCUAGAGAGGAGAAUUUAAUCGAAAAUGUGAAGAACAGAGAAGAGAUACAAGCUAAUUACUGUUUUCCUACUUAUCAAAGACCCUUGGUUCAGAGACAGAGCACCAAACAAAAGCCAGAGGUGAUCAUAAGA